rnacentral:rRNA from 1 species
UACGUAGGGCGCAAGCGUUGUCCGGAAUUAUUGGGCGUAAAGAGCUCGUAGGCGGUUUGUCGCGUCUGCUGUGAAAACCUGAGGCUCAACCUCGGGCUUGCAGUGGGUACGGGCAGACUAGAGUGCGGUAGGGGUGACUGGAAUUCCUGGUGUAGCGGUGGAAUGCGCAGAUAUCAGGAGGAACACCGAUGGCGAAGGCGGGAUCCUGGGCCAGUACUGACGCUGAGGAGCGAAAGCGUGGGGAGCAAACAGG